GGAGUUGUGGAUGGACAUCACGC
rnacentral:miRNA from 2 species